UCCUCAGGCAGACACUACAAGGUAGACCUUU
rnacentral:piRNA from 1 species